GGGCGUCUGAGCACCAGGCGCACCCAGAAACCCUUUGUGAACUUAUACCUUACUGUUGCCUCGGCGCAUGCUGGCCCUCUAUGGGGGCCCCUCUCCGGAGGAGCAGGCACGCCGGCGGCCAAGUUAACUCUUGUUUUUACACUGAAACUCUGAGAAAAAAACAUAAAUGAAUCAAAACUUUCAACAACGGAUCUCUUGGUUCUGGCAUCGAUGAAGAACGCAGCGAAAUGCGAUAAGUAAUGUGAAUUGCAGAAUUCAGUGAAUCAUCGAAUCUUUGAACGCACAUUGCGCCCUCUGGUAUUCCGGAGGGCAUGCCUGUUCGAGCGUCAUUUCAACCCUCAAGCCUGGCUUGGUGAUGGGGCACUGCUUCUCCCCCGAGGAGCAGGCCCUGAAAUUCAGUGGCGAGCUCGCCAGGACCCCGAGCGCAGUAGUUAAACCCUCGCUCUGGAAGGCCCUGGCGGUGCCCUGCCGUUAAACCCCCAACUUCUGAAAAUUUGACCUCGGAUCAGGUAGGAAUACCCGCUGAACUUAAGCAUAUCAAG
rnacentral:rRNA from 1 species